rnacentral:rRNA from 1 species
GAUGAACGCUGGCGGCGUGCUUAACACAUGCAAGUCGAACGAAGCAUUUAGAACAGAUUACUUCGGUUUGAAGUUCUUUAUGACUGAGUGGCGGACGGGUGAGUAACGCGUGGGUAACCUGCCUUGUACUGGGGGAUAGCAGCUGGAAACGGCUGGUAAUACCGCAUAAGCGCACAAUGUUGCAUGACAUGGUGUGAAAAACUCCGGUGGUAUAAGAUGGACCCGCGUCUGAUUAGCUAGUUGGUGAGAUAACAGCCCACCAAGGCGACGAUCAGUAGCCGACCUGAGAGGGUGACCGGCCACAUUGGGACUGAGACACGGCCCAGACCCCUACGGGAGGCAGCAGUGGGGAAUAUUGCACAAUGGAGGAAACUCUGGUGCAGCGACGCCGCGUGAGUGAAGAAGUAAUUCGUUAUGUAAAGCUCUAUCAGCAGGGAAGAUAGUGACGGUACCUGACUAAGAAGCUCCGGCUAAAUACG